ensembl:snRNA U6 U6 spliceosomal RNA
GUGCUCGCUUUGGCAGCACAUAUAUUAAAAUUAGUACAAUACAGAGGUUAGCAUGGCCCCUGCACAAGGAUGACAUGCAAACUUGUGAAGUGUGCCAUAUUUUU